CCGAUAUGAUCGUAGGCUUCCGAUCAAACUCCUGCGUGUUUUAGAUUUUGAGUGGUUUGAUGUCAUUUUGCAACGCCAUGGAUGGUUGGAGAGCGAGCAUAUUAAUGCACUAAUCUAUUUGCUAUUGAUUGAUUUCAACAAAGACGUAGCGUCUCCAGUAUUACGAGAUUGGUGUUGCCUCGAGAUGGGUUGUUGGUUGGCUUUGCAAAGUGAAAACCUUGAGGAAAUGGUUGGCGCAUUGAUGCCAUAUGUCCGAGGAAGUCUUCCUUUCAUAGGUGGGCUUGAAUGGUUUAAGGUUCGACGUGUAUUUGGUGUCGCUCACAUCAAUGGCAAUCAUUGGUGUUUCUAUGAGAUAUGUAUACCGGAGCAACGUAUUGUGGUCUAUGACUCUUUCAAUUAUAGUUGGGAUGUAGUUGCCAGCCAUUUUGACAAUGUCCGGAAGAAUAUACCUAUAUUAUGCCGUUUGGGUAGAGUGUGGGAGAGGUCCAACUAUUGAGACGCGGUCGUAGAUAGUUGGGAUGUUGUCAAGUUCGAGAACCCUCCACAACAAACAAAUUGCAGCGAUUGUGGAAUCAUGGCGCUAAAGUAUAUGGAAUGCCGUGCAUAUGGUGUCCCCGUUGAUCGCAUAAAUCCUGAGCGUGGUGCCAUAUUACGUCGGAGGUACGUAGUCCGUCUGUUUGGAGCCUCCUUUGAAGCCUAAAUUGUCGGUAUGUUGGAGUUUUGGCAGGUGCAGGUACCCUUUCUUGUGAUGUGCAGCACGUGUUUUUUUGGAACUUGAACAAUCAUGGAUUUUAUUGUUUUGGAAAGAAUCCUCCUUCAUAGCUUUGAGUUUGGUUUUGUAUUGUACUUUCUAGGAAGCCAAAGGCAAAGUUAUGAGCAGAGGUCUCUUUUGAAUAUUUUGAUGUAAUUAUGUUAGACAACAACAGUAC